rnacentral:rRNA from 1 species
UGCCCUAGUAACGGCGAGUGAAGCGGCAACAGCUCAAAUUUGAAAUCUGGCUUUCGGGCCCGAGUUGUAAUUUGUAGAGGAUACUUUUGAUGCGGUGCCUUCCGAGUUCCCUGGAACGGGACGCCAUAGAGGGUGAGAGCCCCGUCUGGUUGGAUGCCAAAUCUCUGUAAAGUUCCUUCGACGAGUCGAGUAGUUUGGGAAUGCUGCUCUAAAUGGGAGGUAUAUGUCUUCUAAAGCUAAAUAUUGGCCAGAGACCGAUAGCGCACAAGUAGAGUGAUCGAAAGAUGAAAAGCACUUUGAAAAGAGAGUUAAAAAGUACGUGAAAUUGUUGAAAGGGAAGCGUUUAUGACCAGACUUGGACUUGGUUAAUCAUCUGGGGUUCUCCCCAGUGCACUUUUCCAGUUCAGGCCAGCAUCAGUUUUCGCCGGGGGAUAAAGGCUUCGGGAAUGUAGCUCUCUUCGGGGAGUGUUAUAGCCCGUUGUGUAAUACCCUGGCGGAGACUGAGGUUCGCGCUUCUGCAAGGAUGCUGGCGUAAUGGUCAUCAACGACCCGUCUUGAAACACGGACCAAGGAGUCGUCUUCGUAUGCGAGUGUUCGGGUGUCAAACCCCUACGCGUAAUGAAAGUGAACGCAGGUGAGAGCUUCGGCGCAUCAUCGACCGAUCCUGAUGUUCUCGGAUGGAUUUGAGUAAGAGCAUACGGGGCCGGACCCGAAAGAAGGUGAACUAUGCCUGUAUAGGGUGAAGCCAGAGGAAACUCUGGUGGAGGCUCGCAGCGGUUCUGACGUGCAAAUCGAUCGUCAAAUAUGGGCAUG